rnacentral:misc_RNA from 1 species
GCCCCGCCCCGGCCACCCCUGCUCCCGUCGUCGCUCUCUAGCCGCCCUGGACCUUGGCGCAGACGUCGCCGCAGGGCUGGGCGUGGACGUCGUGCUGGGCACGCGCGCCCCAUGGCUGUGGAUCUGGAUGGCGACUCCCUCUCCGUUGCGUCCUCCGCCGGCCUCCACCGAGCUCCUCUCCCUGCUGGCCAUGGCAGCCAUCGCCCCAGGGACCCACCUCCCCUCCCCUUGGCCGCAAAAGCGUCGCCCGACCCCUGGUCACCUGGACCCGCGCCGCCCCUCUUCCUGGCCACGUCUCCCUUUCCUCUCCCCUUUGGCUAGCCAGCUCUAGGAUCGGCGGCACCAUCAACGCGCCCCCUGCCCUCGCCUGAGCCACAUAGCAGCGCUUCUCUCUUCACGCCUCUCCCGUCGCCGGAGUCAACCAAUCCUGCCAGGUCCGGUUCAGGCCCCUGUCCGGCUGGACCCGCCUCGUCGCCCUCACCCUACAUCGCCUUCGCUGGAUCCGUCGCUGCCGCGGCCUUCCCGACCGGAUCCUCGUUGCUGCGACUUUCUCGGCUCGAUCUGCUGUCCCUUUGGCUGGAUCGUGAUUUCCUGGCCAGAUCUGUCGCUGUCGUGGCCUUCCCGGCCGGAUCUGUCGUUUCCCCUUCUUUUCUGCCGCGGGCGCGGACA